ACUCAAAUGAAUAGACGGGGACCCGCACAAGCGGUGGAGCGUGUUGUUUAAUUCGAUGAUAAGCGAAGAACCUUACCCAGGCUUGACAUCCUGCUAAUUUCUCCGAAAGGAGAGAGUGCCUUCGGGCCGCAGUGACAGGUGUUGCAUGGCCGUCGUCAGCUCGUGUCGUGAGAUGUUAGGUUAAGUCCUUCAACGAGCGCAACCCUUUUGUUUAGUUGUAUUUUUCUAAACAGACUGCCCUGGCAACAGGGAGGAAGGAGGGGAUGAUGUCAGGUCAGUAUUACCCUUACGUCUGGGGCUACAAACACGCUACAAUGGCCGGUACAAAGGGCUGCCAACCCGCGAGGGGGAGCAAAUCCCAUCAAAGCCGGUCUCAGUUCGGAUAGGAGGCUGAAACUCGCCUCCUUGAAGCUGGAAUCGCUAGUAAUGGUAGGUCAGCACACUACCGUGAAUACGUUCCCGGGUCUUGCACACACCGCCCGU
rnacentral:rRNA from 1 species